rnacentral:rRNA from 1 species
GUUGUUGCAGUUAAAAAGCUCGUAGUUGAAUUUCGGGAUCAAUGUUUCGGUCAUGCCGUUGGUAUGUACUGAUAUUAUUGAUUUCUCACCUUCUAAAGAACCGUAAUGCCAUUAAUUUGGUGUCACGGGGAAUUAGGACUGUUACCUUGAAAAAAUUAGAGUGUUUAAAGCAGGCUCACGCUUGAAUACAUUAGCAUGGAAUAAUGAAAUAGGACAUCCGAUUCUAUUUUGUUGGUUUCUAGGAUCGAUGUAAUGAUUAAUAGGGAUAGUUGGGGGCAUUAGUAUUCAAUUGUCAGAGGUGAAAUUCUUGGAUUUAUUGAAGACUAACUACUGCGAAAGCAUUUGCCAAGGAUGUUUUCAUUAACCAAGAACGAAAGUUAGGGGGUCGAAGACGAUCAGAUACCGUCGUAGUCUUAACCAUAAACUAUGCCGACUAGGGAUCGGAUGAUGUUAAUUUUUUAAUGACUCAUUCGGCGCCUUACGGGAAAC